AUUAAUUAUUUAUUAUCAUUAUUAAAAGACAAAGUACAUAGGAAAUAAUAUUAGACGUUAUUUUAGAUGUUAGUUUGUUAUUGUGUAUAAGAUAAUUAUAUACAAUCCGAUGCAAAUUCCGCGAUAUUAGUUGACAAAGAUUUAAUUAAAUUAAAUUAAAUACUUAAUUAGAUUAAAUAUAAUUAAAUAAUUGGUCUAAUAAAUAUAAAAUGAUCGAAAUGCGAGGCAGUACGAAAUUCUUUUAUAUCUUUUUACGAAUUUCACGAAACGAUUACAUCAAUCUUCGCAAGUCAAUUAAUUCAACACAGCAUGAAGAAAAAAAAAUGCUCCAGGUGAGGCUCGAACUCACAACCCCGGCAUUGCUCACGAACACUGUCAUAUAAGUACCGUGCGCUAACCAAUUGCGCCACUGGAGCUGUUGGGAAUAAGGCCACUCCAACUGACUCUUGAAGCCUGGUAUUAAUAAUAUCGAAAGUAUCUUUCUUUAAUUUUAUGAAUCGUCGAUCUUGGCACAGCAGAUCGAUUCGAAUUUAUAAUUUUACAUAUAUCGGUCUAGAGAAAAAUUAUAUCUUGAUUCUACCUCGUGAAAUAUGUCGUCUAUAUAUAUAGACGGUAUUAUAUGUGUGUGUGUGUGUGUGUGUGUGUGUGUGUGUGUGUGUUCGAAGAUUUUUAUUCGCCUUUUUAAUUUUAAAGUUCUGUUUCAAGACGGUGCAUCAUGCGCUUGACCCUAGUUGACCCCAAGACUGAAAUAUUAGCGAUUUUGAAUACAAAGACCGCUAUUCAUAGUCGGCUCUUAUAUUUAAGUCCGUCUUAAGUUUAUCUGCAGAUGCUAUAUAGAUCAUUUCAUUGACUGUAAAGUACAUCUAAAGAUACACUCAAGACGGUCCUUAAAUAUAAAAUUCGACUAUGAAUACCGGCGAAAGAGAAUACAGUAAUAAAUAUCAUGUGUGAAUAAGUGAACUCUAAUCUGUAUUAUCGAAUUUGGUCGGUAACUUAUUUUAGGUGUUCACGCGCAAAGGUUGCCCAGAUGGCGCAAGAUCGUCCCCUCCCCUCCACCACUUUUGCAAAGGCGAGACUCGGGAUUGCGAGUUGCUUUCAGUGCGUCGCCGUGUGAGCUUCGUACUGGGGCAGUAUCGGUACUUACACCACGUCACUCCACAUUGCUCCACAUUGCACCCAGUAAUAAUCUAUUUCUACAUUUAUGCAUGAACAGUGUAAAAGUGUAAACUAAGACCGCGUUGGAUCGCACGCUUUCGCGCUGAUAAGUGUCACUUGUGUCAUUCGUUUUGUGGGGUUGGUUUUGUGAGCGCUCGCAGAGGCCACGCAUGACAUUACUACGACAUUAUUAACGUUCCUUUCGAACGCUCAUUUCGUCAAGUGUGGCAAAAGCGUGAGUGUAUUGGGUAUACUAAAAGCGAAGCAUAGCAAAUGUUGCUAAUCAAUAAACAUGACGCCUAUUUCAAUCGAUUUGAAGGAUGCAAGUAUAGUAUCAGACAAAAUCUCUACUCGUUAUUACUGCAUGGAAUACAUGAAGGUGAAGUAAGAUACUGACGCACUCACCAGCUGUAAACAAGAAGUUGACAUCGAAUGAUAUUGAAUAUGUUGUCAUUGAAUUCGUGAGGAGGACUACAAACGUAAGUGUUUAAGGUAGGGUCCCAUUAAACAAUAUGAAGGUGAUUAUUUCAUUAUUUCUCCUUGACAUUCGCCGUAGGGCCAAACUAUUAGCAUUACAAUACGCUUUUUUUAAUCUUACAAUUUUUGUCUAAAACAGUUCUUUCCAUUUUAUACUUUUUUCUAUAUUUAAGCGUCUCAAAGUAAAUGCCGCAUAGGUAAUAACUGAAUAACAUCAUAAUCGACAUUCUAAAUAUAAAAAAAGAAGGUUGAAUGUGUGUGCUUUAUUUCUACUUGCUCUAUUUUAGUAAGCUAUCACGCAAGAUUUCUACUCGAUUUUUAGUUUUUUUUAUUAUUGCUGCAUGGAGUACAUGAAGGUGAAGUAAGAUACUGACGCACUCACCAGCUGUAAACAAAAGUUGACCUCGAAUGAUAUUGAAUAUGUUGUCAUGAAUUCGUGAGGAGGACUACAAACGUAAGUGUUUAAGUUUUGUUUUAUUAUUGCUGGAUGGAGUACAUGAAGGUGAAGUAAGAUACUGAUGCACUCGUCAUCUGUAAAUAAGAUCUGCAAUUAAUUUGGUGCUUUUACUUCUAAUUAAUCAUAACUCCGUUUUGGAUUCAAAUAUGUUCCUGUCAUUUAGUCAGUUUCAAAGUGCCAUCCUUAAGAUUUAAAAUACGCUACAUAGCUCAAAAAGCUCAAAAAAGAUUUGUUACCAAGGAUAGUUAAGCUUCAUCCUAAUAUAUGCAAGGUACGGUAUAUGUAAUAACGCUAUAAUCAUCAUUGUUUAUUAAACAUCAAAAAGGAAAGCUAAAUGUGUAUUUUAUAUCUUUUUACUUUAUUUUAAUUACUAAUUCUUAAUAUUGGUUUGUUCGGAAAGUGCGGUUUUUCACAUAGCCAAGUAUUCUAAGAUGCUGUUUAAGGAUCGAAUUAGAUAUGUGGGGUAUCUCCGCAAUGCCUCGCGUUAUGUAACGUCGAUUACUUUCAAUUAUUGUUGCAAUUUGGUCGUCAUCUACCGCAGAAGGCCUAUCUGAGCGUUCUUGAGUCUUCGAUGUUAACAUCAUCACUUUUGAAGCGAGCGAACUACUUCUGAACAGUUCUUUCAGCUGCUGCAUUACUUCUGUAAAUCUUUUUUGUUAUCUGAACGGCACUCUUGCUUUUUUUGAAAUAAAAUAACAUAAUGUG